AACAGGAUUAGAUACCCUGGUAGUCCACGCCGUAAACGAUGUCGACUUGGAGGUUGUGCCCUUGAGGCGUGGCUUCCGGAGCUAACGCGUUAAGUCGACCGCCUGGGGAGUACGGCCGCAAGGUUAAAACUCAAAUGAAUUGACGGGGGCCCGCACAAGCGGUGGAGCAUGUGGUUUAAUUCGAUGCAACGCGAAGAACCUUACCUACUCUUGACAUCCAGAGAACUUAGCAGAGAUGCUUCGGUGCCUUCGGGAACUCUGAGACAGGUGCUGCAUGGCUGUCGUCAGCUCGUGUUGUGAAAUGUUGGGUUAAGUCCCGCAACGAGCGCAACCCUUAUCCUUUGUUGCCAGCGGUUAGGCCGGGAACUCAAAGGAGACUGCCAGUGAUAAACUGGAGGAAGGUGGGGAUGACGUCAAGUCAUCAUGGCCCUUACGAGUAGGGCUACACACGUGCUACAAUGGCAUAUACAAAGAGAAGCGACCUCGCGAGAGCAAGCGGACCUCAUAAAGUAUGUCGUAGUCCGGAUUGGAGUCUGCAACUCGACUCCAUGAAGUCGGAAUCGCUAGUAAUCGUGGAUCAGAAUGCCACGGUGAACACGUUCCCGGGCCUUGUACACACCGCCCGUCACACCAUGGGAGUGGGUUGCAAAAGAAGUAGGUAGCUUAACCUUCGGGAGGGCGCUUACCACUUUGUGAUUCAUGACUGGGGUGAAGUCGUAACAAGGUAACC
rnacentral:rRNA from 1 species